UACGGAGGGGGCUAGCGUUGUUCGGAAUUACUGGGCGUAAAGCGCACGUAGGCGGCUUUGCAAGUUAGAGGUGAAAGCCCCGGGCUCAACCUGGGAAUGGCGCUUGGGACUGGUUUGCUUGAGUUCGGGAGAGGAGCGUGGAAUUCCCAGUGUAGAGGUGAAAUUCGUAGAUAUUGGGAAGAACACCGGUGGCGAAGGCGGCGCUCUGGACCGAGACUGACGCUGAGGCGCGAAAGCGUGGGGAGCAAACAGG
rnacentral:rRNA from 1 species